rnacentral:lncRNA from 1 species
AGGGGUUUCUAUUUCUCCCUCCCCCAUCUGGUCUAGAAAGACAUUAAAGGACUACUUCCUGUGGAUGACGGCGUACCCUCUAACGAGAGGGGUGACACAAAUAUCUAUUAGGGGUCACAUUUGGUUAAGUACUGUCGUGGUGAUAGAAUAUAUGAUAGGACCACUGUGGUGGGUAUGACCGUGGUCAUAGAUUGUACCAUGGUUUGGCAAGCCAAAAAUGUACUUGAGCAAAUUGUCAUUAUAUAUCUGAUAUGCUCAUUCCACAUGGAUAGUCAGAAAUCCGUAUCUCC